rnacentral:misc_RNA from 1 species
CUGCUGCCGAGGAGGCCAACACAGGCGCCUCUUCCCUCCCUUCAACGUCUCGGCGCGGGAAAAGCAGAGACGCCCUUAUCGCCACCGCGACAGCGACACGCACACGCACACGCAGGCACAUUAAACCGCCUUUGCGUUUUGUUUUCUCUCGAUUUUUUGUUUGUUUUAUCGUAUUCUGUCGCCUCUCUACCGCGCUGAUCGCCUAUCAUAGUUGCGCUUCCGUUCUUUACUACUCUUGUUUCGCUGUUGUUGUUGAUGGGGCAGCUCAACUCACCAGCGCUAUCCACACCCUCAUCUCACUCUCAUAGACUGCUGAAAGAAGUUACCCGGGCACGACAGCUCGUAGCACACACACGCACACUAGCAAACAAACACGUAGAGCGUGGGUCCGCUCUUCUCGCUCCUACGUCGCAACGGCCAACAACCGCUUAUCUACGCACGUCUCUUCUUCUUUUCCGCUUUCCGCUUCACCAAGAGCGCGAGCUCGAGCAAGGGAACGCUAAUGUCGACGUGGGCCUCUCGCCUCUCCUCGAGCAAGUCGGUGUCGCCGACAUCGGGGACGGAAAGCCGUGGGGCAGCAGCGCAGCGUGACUUCUCUUCAGUGUCCAACACCGCGUCACCGACAAGCAUGGUGAGCGGUGGGGGCGCCGGCGCCGACGUCGGUGCUGGCAGUGGAAACGCCGCCGCACUUCUUCGCGAGGAGUUCCGUGUCGUUGCGGAGGCGUACAAUGAACAGAACGUGUAUCUGCUGCGCCUCCCGCCGGACUGCUGGGAUAUGGCCGCGAAGUACCUCUCCUACAUGGACGUCAUUGCCCUCGGUCAAGCCUGUCGCUCUCUGUGGAGAGUGCUGCACAACCUCGACAGCUUGUGGCGCCGCCAGCUCAGCUACUUCUACCACGACAUGCGCGACCUUCGAGGCGGGAAGCUUCUCUGCACAGCCCCGCUCUUUCCAGAGUCGCCGUGCAGUCGCAGCACAAGUCACCAAGGGAGCAUGGGUGCGCUGACGGGGCCAGCAGGGGGGCAAGAGUGGCCGCGCAAGGCAUGGCAUCAGUCGUACAUGUCGGCCUACGAGCGGUUUUUUCAGGAGCGACGUGUGUACGUGCUGGACUCGCAUCGCGAAUGGCAUUUCCAAGAGCUGGCGGACGUGGAGGACAAGUCCACAGGCAUGUUCACAGUCGCGCUGCACGACGGCCGCGUCGAGGCUCUGACAGCGGCCGCCUCCCCUCUCUCGAUGGACCCUUUUUCAUUCUCCGGUGCCUGGUCCGCAUCGCCACCGCAGCAGCUGCUGCCAUGGGUCGCUGCCGCCUCGGUCUCUGCCACCGCAUCGCCGAUUUUCGCGAAUGCCGUCGAUAGCACGCGGGAGUGGUUGCUUGCUGCCCCUUCGUCGCCGGCGUCCUUUGCAGCGUCGCAGCCGCCGGCGUCACCCGCGCAGGCACCGACGCCGCUGCACGUUCGCACCACAUCCGCGCAGACAAAUGGAACGUCGAUUGGCAGCAGUCCAGCGAUCGCGCCAGCCGCUGCACCGUCUACUCCGCCGCUGCUGCCGCGCGUCGGUGAGCCGAUCAUCAAUGAGCACAAUCCCCUCCUGCGUCUGCGCGUGUACGCGAUCGAGCCGGUGGAAGCGGAGGAAAACAGAGACGCCGAAGCCGCAGAAGUGGCCGCGUAUGCCAGUAGGAUUGAUGAGGGGCGCCACCGCAGUCACGCCUCGCUAGCCUCGAGCAUCUCGGCCAGUCUUUCCGGGAUGACGGAGGAACAGGUGAUUGAGUAUGUGAUGCGGCUGUCGCUCGCAGAAACGCAACAGGCGGCUUCACGGUCUUCUUCGUCGUCGCCAACCGCUGAGGCACCAUCGAAUGCGAAGCCCGCGGCAACAGAUCCGGUGGGCUCUGCCACACAGCAGCAGCCGAAGCUGUACCGGCAUUGCCACUACCGCGGUGCCAAUCCAACGGCAUCUCUGCCGCUCAGCGAACUUCUCGCCAUCCUCGACGCGUUCACCAACAACGCUUCCGAUCAGCUGCAGUACCACCACGUGCGGAACUGCACAGAGGACGAGGAUCCGGCGUUUCUGCAGCGUCUUUCGGAGACGCUCCGGAGCGCGAAGCACCGGCGGCUGCACCUCGGUAAUCAUCACCGAGCCGUGCGCAACAACGGGCAAACGACGCGCAACCGUGCGGGACGGUCAGCCGGAGCAGGCUCGGCCGAUGCGCCCUCUCUCAGUCUCUCUGCCGCUGGCACGGCCACGCCGCCGCAGCAGCCGCCUCCGAUGAACCGCAUGCUGCGCGGCUUUCACGGAGACCUGUUGGAGAUUACAGAGCGAGAAGCGCAGCUGGUAGCCGGCACGCUGCUUGGCAUGCCUCGCGUGAUUGACGAAUUUGUAGCCUUCCGGUGCUACGACCCGGCGCUGCUGUACCACAGGCUGUACUCAUCGAGCACGGCCAUCGAUAGGGCUGACACCCGAGGCACACCUCGAGAGGCGCGGGGAGAGGCGCCGUGGCUCAAGGAUAACUCUGUGCUCUCGGACGGCGUGUCACCCAUCAGCAGGCAGACCACUCAGGCAGGAAGCAGCGGGCCUACCCACCAGUCUGUCGAGACACCUGCCGCCAUACCGCCAUUGACAACGUUGACGCCGUCGCUGAGGCCGCUCCCGUUCUUUACACGCUUUUUUCUCGCACCCGAGUUGUGCCACGACGGUUGCAUUGCCCUCAUCGUCGUGGACGUGGUUCGUGUGCUCGUCAUAGUGGAGAAGGAGGUCGUCACCACGGACAAUCCUGAUUGGGCCUCGCCCUUGAUUGCGCGUGGUGGUCGCGUGGUAGUGCACGGCCAGGGGUACAACGCCCAAGCCUACACACGCGACGAGUACAACUACGUACCGCUGAACCCCACGCGGCGCCGCCGCAACUCGGACUCGGGGGGAUGAGAGGGGAGGUGAAUAGAAUGGAUGUGGCCGGAAAAACGAGCGGAAGGCAACACACCACGCGGCAGGGGUGCAGCGUCCGACUUAUUUGUGUGUUUGUGUGUGUGUGUGUGUGUGUCUUUCUGCGCUAUGUCAUCCAGCCAUCCCAGCGCGCCAUCGCAUCGUAACUUGGCCACCGCCCGAACCUCCCUCCCCACCUGUCGGAGCAUGAACCAAAAGCCGGCAACAC